AUUGAACGCUGGCGGCAGGCCUAACACAUGCAAGUCGAGCGGAGCGGCGGACGGGUGAGUAAUGCCUAGGAAUCUGCCUGGUAGGGGGGGAUAACGUCCGGAAACGGGCGCUAAUACCGCAUACUAUCAGAUGAGACUAGGUCGGAUUAGCUAGUUGGUGUGGUAAAGGCCUACCAAGGCGACGAUACGUAACUGGUCUGAGAGGAUGAUCAGUCACCCUGGGACUGAUACCCCGUCCAGACUCCUCACGUAGGCAUCAGUUGGGAAUGUUUGACCAUGGGCGAAAGCCUGCUCCGUCCAUUCCGCGUGUGUGAAGAAGGUCUUCGGAUUGUAAAUCACUUUAAGUUGGGAGGCGUUACCAACAGAAUAAGCACCGGCUAACUUCGUGCCAGCAGCCGCGGUAAUAC
rnacentral:rRNA from 1 species